rnacentral:rRNA from 1 species
AUUGAACGCGGGCGGCAUGCUUUACACAUGCAUGUCGGACGGCAGCACAGAGAAGCUUGUUUCUUGGGUGGCGAGUGGCGAACGGGUGAGUAAUAUAUCGGAACGUACCGAGUAAUGGGGGAUAACUAAUCGAAAGAUUAGCUAAUACCGCAUAUUCUCUGAGGAGGAAAGCAGGGGACUUCGGGCCUUGCGUUAUUCGAGCGGCCGAUAUCUGAUUAGCUAGUUGGUGGGGUAAAGGCCUACCAAGGCGACGAUCAGUAGCGGGUCUGAGAGGAUGAUCCGCCACACUGGGACUGAGACACGGCCCAGACUCCUACGGGAGGCAGCAGUGGGGAAUUUUGGACAAUGGGCGCAAGCCUGAUCCAGCCACGCCGCGUGUCUGAAGAAGGCCUUCGGGUUGUAAAGGACUUUUGUCAGGGAAGAAAAGGCUGUUGCUAAUACCGACAGCUGAUGACGGUACCUGAAGAAUAAGCACCGGCUAACUACGUGCCAGCAGCCGCGGUAAUACGUAGGGUGCGAGCGUUAAUCGGAAUUACUGGGCGUAAAGCGAGCGCAGACGAUUACUUAAGCAGGAUGUGAAAUCCCCGGGCUCAACCUGGGAACUGCGUUCUGAACUGGGUGACUAGAGUGUGUCAGAGGGAGGUAGAAUUCCACGUGUAGCAGUGAAAUGCGUAGAGAUGUGGAGGAAUACCGAUGGCGAAGGCAGCCUCCUGGGAUAACACUGACGUUCAUGCUCGAAAGCGUGGGUAGCAAACAGG